CUUCACAAGAACAACAUUAGCGAGCCAAUCGAGGUAUUGGACUUCCCUUAUGAACCCCGUUCUCACCAGUUUGCCGACCUCUUCCUGAAUGACCACACGUCUUUCCGGCGCAAACUGUCUCUUCCUUUGCUUAACAGGUUUGGCCCCUGGGCUUAUAUUGAAUCUAUGGACUGCUACUUCAGGGUCUAUCCCUGGCUUAUCCUCGAUCUUCCAUGCAAAAACAUCGAUGUUGCGGGACAGACAAUUGAUGACUUCCUCCCGAAGGCUGGCCUUGAGAUCCUUACCAAUAGUUAUCGUUUUUCCAUGCUCGUGCUCGACCACUUCCAAUUCCUCAACCGGGUCAAGUCUACCCCUUAGCUCGAGCUCGAGAUCUGAAAGUUGCAUGACGUCUCUACUCAUUCCUCAGAUGCUAG
rnacentral:lncRNA from 1 species